rnacentral:lncRNA from 1 species
ACUAGAGUAAAGGGCCCAGCUUCUGGGAUGGUCUGCUGGCGCUGUGGUUAUGGAAAGAUGGUUUCGUGUCAUCACAGGAACUGAAAGUCUUGGGCAGUUGGCAUGUAAGAUCUGGCCUGCUGCUGAACCAUCAUGGCAAAAAUGGAAGCCACUGAUCCUGGCCAGGAAGGAUGUAUGGAUACAAAAACAAGAUGUCUCCAAAAAAGUCUUGAAAAACUUCAAAUACCAAGGAGUGGCUAAAGAGGCAGAGUCCCUUUCUGAUUUUAUUCCCUACAAUGAAAGAUGCACAACAAAGAAUGUGGAAAGACUCAGGCUCUUGGACAAAGACUCCUGUGACGGAAAUAGGCUUCUCACCAACAGGUAACAGAAACACAAAUGAGAAACUGAGGGGAGAAAUGAAAAGAUUUGCUGC